GACAGAGGGUGCGAACGUUGUUCGGAAUUACUGGGCGUAAAGCGAGUGUAGGCGGUCUGAAAAGUCGGGUGUGAAAGCCCUGGGCUCAACCCAGGAAGUGCACUCGAAACUGCCAGGCUAGAGUAUCGGAGAGGUUGGUGGAAUUCUCGGUGUAGAGGUGAAAUUCGUAGAUAUCGAGAGGAACACCGAUGGCGAAGGCAGGUCUCUGGGCCGAUACUGACGCUGAGGAGCGAAAGCGUGGGGAGCGAACAGG
rnacentral:rRNA from 1 species